rnacentral:lncRNA from 1 species
UAUAUUUUGAAUUGUAUAACUUGGAAGGAAUUUUUUGGAAUGUCAAAUACGUUUUGAAUUAUAAAAUAUGAAGAAAAAAAAAUCUAGAAGUUUCAGAGGUUCACUUUCAUUUUUUCCUUUCUCGUGCUCUUAAUUUCUCCCUUCUUCAUUUUUUCUUUUCCGUUAUGUGCCAUGUGUUCCCUAUAGAGGUCCUCAAUUUCCUUUGUCUCCCUCAUAUGCAGUUGACUUGCUUCCAUGGUGACGAAAGGUAAGUAAUCUUGGAUACCUUUAUUGUUUACAUUAGGGAGUAGUGGUUUGACAAAACCUAAUUGUAAUGUAGAAAAGACAUUUGAAAUUGGACUUGGAUUGAAAGUUCAAUCUUGAAGUGGAAGAGGAAACAUGGUCGUGAGGAGGCAGAGAAGAAGUCAUUACCAUUAUUAGCCUAAAGGUGAGUUUUGGGUUGGAUUUUAUACUUUGAUAGGGUCUUUUUUGUGUGUAUUUUGUGGCUUUGAUUAUUGUUGAAAUUGGUGGAUGAGAGGGAAUGUUGCAUGCGAAAGACCCAAGGGUUCCUUUUUGCUUGGGCUUGUUUUAAACGCUUGGUCCUGUGGUGUAGAAGCUCGCACUAGACGCUAGGACUAGACAAUCCUUGUAGUUUUUUAGGGUAUAAACACUCCUUGUUAUCACUUUUUGGUUACUUUUGUUGAACAAGAUGCUUUGAUGUCUCCAAAUCCAAGUGGAAAGCUUGAAGACCUUGCUGUUGUUGUGUGUGUGUGUCUAGUUGUUUGAAACUUGUUAAUUCACUCCUUAGGAUGAUCCAAGCUCAAUUGAAUCUUUAACAUUUUGAAAAGAUGGGGUUUCUAAAAAGAAGUGAAAUUUCAACAGAUUGAAAUUUCGAAUCAACAAGUUGUUUGACACUUAGAGGAUUUUAAAAUGAUCUGGAAAAACUUUGUCUUUGCCUUUGCUGUCAAACAAAAAUAAUCGUUAUUUCGAUAAAUCAACCGAUUGUUUUUUUGAAAACCUUAACAAAAUUUUGUUAAGUUUUUUUCUGUUUUAAAUGAUUCCAACAACUUUUGGUUUUCUGUUGUAACUGUUUUAACCAUGUGAUUGAAAGAUAAAAAGGUGGUUUUAAGCUCCUAUGCAUCAACGAAGUGAGUGAGAUCAAUCAAAAACAGUUUUCAAGUUUUCAAAGAGCUUUUGGAUCAUCUCAAGUGUGGAAUAGGAUUGGGUCUUGUAUUCUGAACUUUGAUCUUGUGAUUUACCCAGGUGUAUUCUAUUCCCUUCUUUCUUGAAAAUUGUAUUUUUGUACUGGUGUUGCCAAUAAAUGUUGUGUGUUCUCGAUGGGAUCAAGGUCAACAUUCUUGGUGUGGUUUUUGUCAAGGAGUGGUGUGUGUUCUUGAGGGGUUCAAGAUCAUCACUCUUGGUGUGUGUAGCUUGUAAUCUAGGGUUGAUUACAUAGUGAAUUCUCAGUGGUUUAUGAGGAAUGGAUGUAGCUCAGGUGUUGAGUGAACAAGUAUAAACAUUAUGUGUGAAUCUCUUUAUCCUUACACUCUUUAAACUACUUUAACUUUGUUUUUAUAAAGUGUUGAUAAAAACAAUAGACUGUUUCGUAAAAACAACCGGUUGAUUUUCUGCAACAAGUUUAAAAACAGUUUUAUAUUUGGCUGGACAAAUUUUCCAUUGAUUAAUUCUUCAUAGCCUUUCAC